rnacentral:rRNA from 1 species
UACGGAGGGGGCUAGCGUUGUUCGGAAUUACUGGGCGUAAAGCGCACGUAGGCGCCUUCUAAGUCGAACGUGAAAUCCCCGGGCUCAACCCGGGAACUGCGUCCGAUACUGGAAGGCUUGAAUCCGGGAGAGGGAUGUGGAAUUCCAGGUGUAGCGGUGAAAUGCGUAGAUAUCUGGAGGAACACCGGUGGCGAAGGCGACAUCCUGGACCGGUAUUGACGCUGAGGCGCGAAAGCCAGGGGAGCAAACGGG